UCGACCACGACGCCGGUCCCAUUCUGAGCAAAUACCCGGUCGCACUGAGCUAUCCGCUAGUCGCGGACCCACCACUAUACACAACAGUUGCCAUUGAAACUCGGUGAAAUGUGCAAGUGCCACGCAACUCCACCAACACGUUACUCCACAACUUCAAAAAUUAAGCGGGAACUUACCACAACACUCCAUUCAACAUGAAGAAUUGCAAAUACAAUUUUGAACAAUUUGAUCUCAUACCGGAAGCCCAUCUGGAUUGUGAAAACCCGGAUGAAAGAAGUUGGGCCAAACGACUGGGCCUUGCUCAUCAGAUUCUGGAACGGUGCGCCCCUUGAAUCUAGAAUAGAAGCUGAGUACACCUCAAGAAUCUCAAGCAAAGCAGUGUGGAAGCAUGGAAGAGAGCACGGAUGGAGGCAACGCGUGGAAAUUACAUUACAAGGGGAAUAGCCGAGUGCAACCUCUGGUGCGACGAUGCGAUGGCUGCUGUGCUACUGGGGUAACAUCCAGAGAUGAAUAGAGGGUUGUUCGAGGGAGAGAGCGCGCGAGGGUCGGGAGUGCGCGGGAAAACUGGGCGGCGAAAGCUCGCGCCGUGGAGGACGCGGAUCGAUCGAGCAUCAGGGACCCGCUGCUGAUCCCCACCCAGCUGGAUCUGCGAUGUGCGUCGCGGCGGGCGUCGCAACAACCCACCAUCAUCAUCCGUCCUCGCUGCCGCCACCGCCGCCGCUGCCGCCGACGCAAUGUCGCGAACUGUUUCGCGACACGCAAGCCGCGCUCGCACGCGAGCACACACAGUCGCAGCGUUGACGCGGCCUAGACGGAUGCGAAAUCUUCGGCGACAGGCGCGAUUUGUUCGAUUUGACUUCAACGACCAAACAAAACAAAACAACGUGAAGAGAGCUGUCACCAGGCAAUCCGAGCGGAAGCAAUGUGCCAAAACAAGCGGAAAACUACAAGCGACUACCAACGGCUUCAUUGAUUCAACAAAACGGAUUUAACCGGAUCCCAAAUUCGACAUUGCAAAUCACAGGUGCCAGAACAUCGCUGACAGGUUUUAUGGUGUUUUCAUGAGCUACACCACACUAAGAAGGAGAAAAUAGCAAGGAAACUCUUCCAAUUAAACAACAAAAUGGAAUGACAAGUUUAACACAAACUUAGAUAUUAAAUACUGCAUUGUGUAAACAAGGUAUGACGAAUUCAAAUCAAAAGUUAAAUUUACACCUAAAUAUUAAUUCUGAAAUUCAAUUCAACGACCCACUUUCCACACUUGUUGAUUUCUCAACUAACAAUGGUGACCGUUAUUCAACUAGAGAUGAACUCCACCUUAAACACCAAUACAAAGUUAAAACACAACUGACCCACGAGGAAAUUCCUGAUGUGAUGCGUUGGUUAACAUUUCCUCUUUCUUCUUCUCUUUUCUACUUUCUGUGGCCAAUUUGGAGUUGUGAAUGUGGUCCGCAUAGCUAGGUGGCAAUGAUUAAUGAAAACCACUCGAGCUUGUUACCUCGCCAAAUUGAUUUUGCAAUCACAUACGAUUUUCAUUUCAGCUUGAAAAUCUCUCUGUGUAAAUGCACGAUAGUUUAUCAUGUAAUUUGUUAUGUUUUGUUUCAAUGCACAAACAGACAUAUUCAGAUAUUGAUGGCAUAGAUUUGAAUGCUUGUUGCAUUGGUCAUGAAAUGAAUCCAAUCUACAUCCGCCAUUUUAUUACACUCGUUCAAUGCAGGUCGAUUUUAGUGCACUCUGUGGAUUUCCACACGAGCAAUGCAGAUAAUUUAAUUAUUUACAAUUCUUAACCAACCGCAUCCACAAAUUAUUUCUGAUUAAAUUUGAUUCGAAAAACAUGACCACAGUUCAUUAUAUAUUCCAAGCAGAAAUUAUUAAUUACGAUCUCUGAGUUAGAAUGUACAAACAAAACCAAACAAAGCCGGUUUGAAACACAAGCCGAGCGCAAUAAAUUAAGUUAAAUGUUGCGUGACUUAAUUACAUUUAAACGAAGAGAAUUUAUGCAUUUCUAUAGAAUCAUAUAUAAAUACCGCACAUAACGGACUUUUUUUACUUUAAAUAUUUUCAAGCCGUAUACAAGCAGUGACAAGUUAAUGCGAGUAAACAUUUUAAAGCAAUAAUUUCACAUUUAGGAACCCAAUUACUACAUCCUGUAUAUAUAAUUAACCCAACUAGUUAUUAAUUAAAAUUUCUAUUUUGCAGGUGUGCAGUUGUCGCGUGUUGCUGUCAAGCCAAGGAUGGCUGCUGAUCAUUCUUACCUGAUCAAACCAAAAAUACAUUUUUGUUAUUAUCACGAAACAACAAACACAAGGACACAUUUUUAAUCACAUUCUGCUAUCUUCAACACCAAGGAACAUAAUAACAGAAAACGUAAUCAAAUAUUUGGAUAAUAUCAGCAUGCAUGCUUCCACACUAAUAAAUACAAAAUUGUUACUUUUAGAAGAUCAACCAGAAGAUAACGUGAAGAAAAGAAGACAUGAUCAAGGAACAACUUGAGUUCUUCACGUUAAUGCUCUACAUCUACCCUGUAGAUCCGAAUUUGUUUGAAAUCAAGCGACAAAUUCGGUUCUAGAGAGGUUUGUGUGGUGCAUACAAAGAAACGUGACAAGAAGAUACUAAUUUUAAGUUAUUUUAUUAAAUUACAUGUAAAAUAUUGAAGCCAGAAUGUAAUAUUUUCAGUAAUAAUUAAUAAUAAAU